CGGGGUGUCGUAUACCGGCAGUACGCCUGUUUUGGGAACAGGUAGACUGGGUUCAAUUCCCAGCACCCCGA
rnacentral:tRNA from 1 species